AAUUUAAAGUUCCAUUUUAAAUUUUGAUUUAAACCUGUAACUAUAUUCUUUAAAUUUAAGAAUUUUUUUUAAAAAAAUUGAAAAUAACUAAAAUUAAAAUUUAUAUUGUUUUUUUCAUGACCUUUGAUUGAUUUUAGUCUAAGGGUUCAAUAUUUUCAAUAUAAAAUUAUAAUAUUUUAUAAUAUUUUAAAAUUUAAACUACUAAAUAUAAAAUUAUAAAUAUAAUUAUUUUAAAAAUAUUAUCUCAAACCAUAUCUAUUUCGAACGUUUAACCCUAAACCCUAAACCACAUGCUUUGACCUAUACCAAAAAACAUUAAACUUCAAACUUUAAACAAAAUUUAAUUAAUCAUAUACCAUAAAUUCUAACUACAAAUGUUAAAACUCUAAUAUUUUUGUUAUUUAAAAAUAUAAUCUUAAAUGUUAAAUCGAAACUCAAAACACUAUA
rnacentral:lncRNA from 1 species